rnacentral:misc_RNA from 1 species
CGGGCGUCCUCACAAAUUACCUGCAUUCAGAGAUUCAUACCGGCACAGGUCGGUAUGCGAAGUCCCUUUUGGGGCCUUAGCUCAGCUGGGAGAGCACCUGCUUUGCAAGCAGGGGGUCGUCGGUUCGAUCCCGACAGGCUCCACCAUAUUGAGUGAAAAGACUUCGGGUCUGUAGCUCAGGUGGUUAGAGCGCACCCCUGAUAAGGGUGAGGUCGGUAGUUCGAGUCUACCCAGACCCACCACUCUGAAUGUAGUGCACACUUAAGAAUUUAUAUGGAUCAGCGUUGAGGCUGAGACAUGUUCUUUUAUAACUUGUGACGUAGCGAGCGUUUGAGAUAUCUAUCUAAACGUGUCGUUGAGGCUAAGGCGGGGACUUCGAGUCCCUAAAUAAUUGAGUCGUAUGUUCGCGUUGGUGGCUUUGUACCCCACACAACACGACAUAUAGCUCCGAGGCAACUUGGGGUUAUAUGGUCAAGCGAAUAAGCGCACACGGUGGAUGCCUAGGCGGUCAGAGGCGAUGAAGGACGUGGUAGCCUGCGAAAAGUGUCGGGGAGCUG